AUUGAACGCUGGCGGCAGGCCUAACACAUGCAAGUAGAACGAGUGGCGGACGGGUGAGUAAUGUCUGGGAAACUGCCUGAUGGAGGGGGAUAACUACUGGAAACGGUAGCUAAUACCGCAUCCCAUCGGAUGUGCCCAGAUGGGAUUAGCUAGUAGGUGGGGUAACGGACCACCUAGGCGACGAUCCCUAGCUGGUCUGAGAGGAUGACCAGCCACACUGGAACUGAGACACGGUCCCGACUCGUACGGGAGGCAGCAGUGGGGAAUAUUGCACAGUUGGCGCAAGCCUGAUGCAGCCGUGCCGCGUGUAUGAAGAAGGCCUGCGGGUUGUAAAGUACUUUCAGCGGGGAGGCGUUACCCGCAGAAGAAGCACCGGCUAACUCCGUGCCAGCCGCCGCGGUAAUAC
rnacentral:rRNA from 1 species